AAUCAACGCUGGCGGCGCGCUUAACACAUGCAAGUCGAGCGAGAAAGGGGAGCAAUCUCUGAGUACAGCGGCGUACGGGUGAGUAACACGUGGGUAAUCUACCUUCUAGUGGGGAAUAACCCUGGGAAACCGGGGCUAAUACCGCAUAAUCCUGCGAAGGGAAAGCAGCAAUGCGCUGGAAGAAGAGCCCGCGGCCGAUUAGCUAGUUGGUGAGGUAACGGCUCACCAAGGCGAUGAUCGGUAGCCGGCCUGAGAGGGCACCCGGCCACACUGGCACUGAAACACGGGCCCGACGCCUACGGGAGGCAGCAGUGGGGAAUCUUGCACAAUGGAGGAAACUCUGAUGCAGCGACGCCGCGUGAGCGAUGAAGCCCUUCGGGGUGUAAAGCUCUUUCGGCAGGGACGAUAAUGACGGUACCUGAAGAAGAAGCUGCGGCUAACUACGUGCCAGCAGCCGCGGUAAAAC
rnacentral:rRNA from 1 species